rnacentral:rRNA from 1 species
AACGCAGGAGGCAAGCGUUAUCCGGAGUGACUGGGCGUAAAGAGCGUGUAGGCGGUUGAGUAAGAUGCGUGUGAAAGCGACCGGCUAAACUGGGCGAUUACAGGCAAGACUGCUGAGCUAGAGGCCGAUAGAGGGGUGUGGAAUUCCGGGUGUAGCGGUGAAAUGUGUAGAGAUCCGGAGGAACACCAGUGGUGCAGACGGUGCCCUGGAUCGGACCUGACGCUGGGACUCGAAAGCGUGGGGAGCGAACGGG